GGGCGCGAGGGGGCUGGAGGUGGCUCACGACUGGGGCGUGGCGUGGGGCGGCCACCCGGGAACUCGGAGAAGAGCUAGGCUUCACUCCGGUUUCGCUGCGCAGGGAGAACCCGAGGGCGUGGCCUAUGGGGAGGGCCAGGUGCGCCAGGUGACUGCAGACGGGCAACGCUGCCGCAGGGCCUAAAGGUGUACCUGUGGGAGGGAUGUCAGUCAGCACUCGCUCGCUCUCAUCGCCCCGUCUGGACCGAUUUUACCACAGAAACUGAAGAAUUCCUCGUAGUGGGCAAAUAUAACCGAAAGAAGGGAAAGGAUUAGGUGAUGAUUCCAACCAUACACUAUCAGUUCCUCGACCUUGUAGUAGAAACUACAUAUUUCACUCGAUUCGGUGAAGUCUGGAAGGAACAGAGUAAUCACAGAAACAGUACCUCAAGAAGGAAGGAACUUAGAUCCCUGAGUCACUGCUUGAAGGAGUAUCUCUGCUUGUAUCACUGCUUGAAGGAGUACCACAUCAGGCUAUGAUACAAAGUGAGGAGGCAGCUAUCUGCAAGCCAGAAAGAGAGCCUUCACAAGAAGCAGAUGACGCUGUACCCUGAUCAUAGACUUCCAGCUUCUAGAACUGUUAGAAAAUUGAUUUCUGUUGUUCAAGCCACUCAGUAUUUUGUCUUGGCCACCCAAGCUGACUAAAACCAUCAUUAUUAAAACUGAAUCAUUUAGGAGUGACCCUCACUGCCAAUCCUGCUUUAUCUUAUGCCAUGCUUCACCCUGCCACCCAUCUCUGAUUCCAACUGUAGCAGCCCUGAGAGCUUUUCAGCUCCUUGAACAAAUCUUAUUCUCACCACAUGGCCUUUUCACAUGUUUAUCACUAUACCUAGGACAUGUCAUGUUUAGCCAACCCAUUCUUGUUCUUCAGAGUAUAGCUGGCAAAAUUCUCUCCCUGGCAAAGCCUUUGGUGAUUCUGACCCCCACCUGACCUCUUCACACAGUUUCCCCUUAUAUGUCAUCAGUACUCAUUCAUUUUCCUAUAAGACACUUUUCACAGGUUUUUUGAGAUUAUUUUAUUAAUACUUAUCUUUUACUCUAGACUUAACAAACUCUCUGAGGACAGGAAAUAUAUCUUGUUGCUCACCAUUCACAGAAAAUGCCCAACACCUGGCACAUAAUAAAGGUUUACUGAAUGAAUGAACUGUAAAGAAGCAUCUGUAAAGAAAUGUUAGCAAAAUUAAGGAAGAGUACAUGAGACCAAAAUGGGAGACCCUAAUUUUAAUGUGAAGACCAAGAGAGGAGCUAACAAAUAAAAUUAUUGUGAACACCUCAAAGAGUGUCACCAUUCAUCUUUAGCAUAUGGCAGAUUUUCAACACGUGAAUGAAUGAGCGAGGACGCAGUGGAAGAAGAAUGAGAAGUUUAUUCAACAGUGUAGAAUAUUACUUGCAAUUCCAUUUUCAGAAAAACCAAUACUAUAUUUUCAAGAAGAGGUUAAUGAUCAGAAAUGUCAGAUUUCUCACAGAGAUUAAGUAGGAUAAGAACUGAGAAAAGAUAAUUGGGUUUAUCGUCUAUGUAAAUUAGUGAAAAUGAAAGCAAAUAGUUGAAGAAUAAGUGAGAGGCAGCAAGACAGGAGCAGUGAUUAUAGAGUAUUCUUUUGAGAUGUUUAGAGGCUAAAAGAUAAAUAGAGAAGAUAUUAAUAGCAGUAGUAAGGAUACUAGAGUCAAAAGAAAAUUUUUCUAGGAGAGAUGAAGAGAUUUUAAACUAAGAAGAAAAUUGAUACAAAAAGAUUGAAGCAAAAAGAAAAAGAGAGAGACAAAAGGACAAAAAGAAGAACAAAUGCUAAAUAGAUUGAAGUACCAGAGAAAGUAAAUGUGGAUAGAAUCAAAAGUGAGAGAAGUUUGGACAUAGAAGGAAGGAAAUCGAGGGAAGAUAGGUCAAAUGGCCAUGGUUUGAGUGAAAAUAAGAAGCAAAAUCAUCUGCAGAAAGAUGCUGAUAAUUCUGGAUCCAAAUGGGGACUGCUAAAAAGAUUGUAUAAAGAACAUUUAAUGGAUGACAUUAAGAGUCUAAAUAAAUUUUAGAGAUUUUUUUUUAAAGCACAGAUGUUGCGACAGUUAU